CCAAAGAGGAGAAUGCCCUUCCGAUGAGUUUUUUGAUAUAUCUAGAAGCGAAUAAGGAUUCUCUCUUAUUGAAAUCGAUUUUGUUAGACAUAGUUUGAUCCAUGAUGGGGUUUACAAGUCUAUCAGUCUCUUUUUAGGGUUAUACUUUUGAGACUACUUAUUAUGUUCUGAGCUGCAUUCUGAAUUAAUCAGUUGCAAGGACUCUAUAUGAGAUAUGGACUUGGCAUA
rnacentral:lncRNA from 1 species